GACGAACGCUGGCGGCGUGCCUAAUACAUGCAAGUAGAACGCACAGUUUAUACCGUAGCUUGCUACACCAUAGACUGUGAGUUGCGAACGGGUGAGUAACGCGUAGGUAACCUGCCUGGUAGCGGGGGAUAACUAUUGGAAACGAUAGCUAAUACCGCAUAAUAUUAAUUAUUGCAUGAUAAUUAAUUGAAAGGUGCAAUUGCACCACUACCAGAUGGACCUGCGUUGUAUUAGCUAGUAGGUGAGGUAACGGCUCACCUAGGUGACGAUACAUAGCCGACCUGGGAGGGUGAUCGGCCACACUGGGACUGAGACACGGCCCAGACUCCUACGGGAGGCAGCAGUAGGGAAUCUUCGGCAAUGGACGAAAGUCUGACCGAGCAACGCCGCGUGAGUGAAGAAGGUUUUCGGAUCGUAAAGCUCUGUUGUAAGAGAAGAACGGGUGUGAGAGUGGAAAGUUCACACUGUGACGGUAGCUUACCAGAAAGGGACGGCUAACUACGUG
rnacentral:rRNA from 1 species